rnacentral:lncRNA from 1 species
GGGCGCGGGCUCAAACAGCCCGAAGCGGGAGGGGAGGAGGCUUACCGGGCUAACUCGCCUCGGCUUGGGGCUGUGUAGGGGCAGCAGGUCAUUUGGCAGUGGUGGGGCAUGCGGCCCCCCAUCUUCCAGGAUGUAGAGUAUAGCGCCACCAGCCUAGAGGUUCUAAGGCUUGGAGACUAAGGAAGACCCUAGCCAGUACAGUACACCUGCUGACAGAGAGUUCACUCUUUCGUUUCCAAGAUGCCACGUUGUGAGUUGCUGAUGAACAACUGGGGCAUCUGGAAGUCUGUUGGUAGUCUGUGACCUCUGACAGCUGCAGGUUCCUUUCAAGACUCUUCAUAUGGUAAACUGGCCCAAAGGAGCCUCCUUACCUGAACAAGCUGUCUCGACCUAAAUCAUUGGUCAGCCACACCCUGGCCCUAGGAUACAGAGGGCCAAAGAAGGCCAAGCCUGGCAGACACUGAAAAUAUGAGGCUCUCCCCCUAGACACAGAGGAACCUCACAUUCAAAAGGAACCUUGGACAUCACAGGCUUGUGCUGUUCAUUCCGAGAGCUACAACAAAAACAGAAACCAGAGGCAAGAGAGAGAACUUGGCUGGAAAAUGGGAAGAUCUAGAAGUAUCUACAAAUAACCCCAGAGCAUCAUCUCUACCUUCUGUAGGCGUGUCUACAGAUUGGGUAUCUAGAAGGAUUGUACAAGAAAUAAAAGCAGGAGAAAUAAAAGUAGAAACUUAUAGUGAGGCCAUUCAUUUGCCUGU